UGCAAGGUCUGAAGACUUGAGUUGUAAAUCCAAGCAGACUCAGGCUAAAGUGAAUCCAUCAGGUGGAAGGAAGGUCAUUUUAAGUCACAUGGGAAAAGUCGAAAGAACUCUAGCGCUGUAUCAAGGAACGUUCUAUAUUCUAGUCAGAGACCCAAACGAAAAGCAAGGUGUUUCGGAUGACAUCUUGAGUUGAUCCUGUGAAAACUGCUUUCACACACCGUCAAAAAAACCAAAAAACCUAAAACUGAGAGCUUGAAGAAAAAAAGAUAUUGCACGAUGUUUUAUAGGAAAUAAUCAUCCUUUGAAGGGAACAGACGCCAAGGGUGUGUUUAAUUGUAACCUGUUUAGAGGACUACAUCCUCCAUGGGGCUGCCUCUGAAGAGGGUUUGAAAACUUAGUCACAAAGCUUAGAAAGGGCGCUUUGUUUUUGGCUCCUGUAAAAGCUUGCCUCGUGUAAAAACUUUUUUUUUGGGGGGGACCCUCCUCUCAGCACAUUGCAGGAGGACAUGGGAGGGGCUUAUUCAGUGGUGGCUCCCAGCCAGGGGAACUCCCUGCUACAGGGAGCUUGGUUCCUGCCUUC